rnacentral:rRNA from 1 species
ACGAACGCUGGCGGCAUGCCUAACACCUGCCCGUCGAACGAAGUCUUCGGACUUAGUGGCGCACGGGUGCGUCACGCGUGGGAAUCUGCCCUUGGGUACGGAAUAACUCAGAGAAAUUUGUGCUAAUACCGUAUAAUGUCUUCGGACCAAAGAUUUAUCGCCCAAGGAUGAGCCCGCGUAAGAUUAGCUAGUUGGUGGGGUAAAAGCCUACCAAGGCGACGAUCUUUAGCUGGUCUGAGAGGAUGAUCAGCCACACUGGGACUGAGACACGGCCCAGACUCCUACGGGAGGCAGCAGUGGGGAAUAUUGGACAAUGGGCGAAAGCCUGAUCCAGCAAUGCCGCGUGAGUGAUGAAGGCCCUAGGGUUGUAAAGCUCUUUUACCAGGGAUGAUAAUGACAGUACCUGGAGAAUAAGCUCCGGCUAACUCCGUG